CUAAUGUGGUGUAUGUCUCAGCAAAAGCAGGUCAUGUAACAAGUGCUGAUACUUUUGGUUUGAGUGA